rnacentral:rRNA from 1 species
AUUGAACGCUGGCGGCAGGCCUAACACAUGCAAGUCGAGCGCGCGGCGGACGGGUGAGUAAUGUAUGGGGACUGCCCGCUACAGGGGGUUAAGUACUGGACACGGAAGCGAAUACUGAAUAAUAUUGGAAAAGCCAUAGUGGAGUAGCUAGUAGGUGAGGUAAUGGCUCACCUACGCGACGAUCCCUAGCUGGUCUGAGAGGAUGAGCAGCCACACUGGGACUGAGACACGGCCCAGACUCCUACGGAGGCAGCAUUGGGGAAUAUUGCACAAUGGGCGCAAGCCUGAUGCAGCCAUGCCGCGUGUAUGAAGAAGGCCCGAGGGUUGUAAAGUACUUUCAGUCGGGAGGCGUUACCGACAGAAGAAGCACCGGCUAACUCCGUGCCAGCAGCCGCGGUAAUUC